GACGAAUGCUGGCUGCGUGCUUAACACAUGCAAGUCGAACGGUGAAGGAGGGCUUGCCCUCCGGAUCAGUGGCGAACGGGUGAGUAACACGUGGGCAACCUGCCCCUCACUCUGGGAUAACGCCGGGAAACCGGCGCUAAUACCGGAUACGACCAGGCGCGACAUCUCGCCUGGUGGAAAGAAUUUCGGUGAGGGAUGGGCCCGCGGCCUAUCAGCUAGUUGGUGGGGUAACGGCCCACCAAGGCGACGACGGGUAGCCGGCCUGAGAGGGCGACCGGCCACACUGGGACUGAGACACGGCCCAGACUCCUACGGGAGGCAGCAGUGGGGAAUAUUGCUCAAUGGGCGAAAGCCUGACGCAGCGACGCAGCGUGAGGGACGAAGGCCUUCGGGUUGUAAACCUCUUUCAGCGGGGACGAAGCGAAAGUGACGGUACCCGCAGAAGAAGCACCGGCUAACUACGUGCCAGCCGCCGCCGUAACAC
rnacentral:rRNA from 1 species